rnacentral:lncRNA from 10 species
AAGUGAUGCCCAAAGGUAGUUUCCAGAAAGAGGAAAGGGAGUUUGUCAUCUGAGAGAGGGACUCUUGAUUUGGUUGAUUAGAAGAACCAAACAACGAUUAGCCCUAGGCUUCCUCCAUGGAAAUUCCCUAAAGAAAAGUCUUGCUAUUCAGAGUGUUAUUAAGUCCCAGGGUCUUCAUUGCCACUAAUAGAUCUUUUUGGAGGGACUGAUAUCAGAUAUUUCCCUAUUCUUAGGAGGAGAUGGCUGUUCAGGGAAGGCCAGAUGUUAACAGAAGAAACAGAAGGAUAUUAAACAUGCCAUUAAGCUGGUGACUGGAAAAGAAAAAAAAAGUUAAACAUUGCCACAAAAUCCUUUGGUUUCAGUGUUAAAACUAAAUAAACCUCUAUGGAGGCAGCAAGAUGUUAAAUGGGGCAAGAGGGUCAUAGACCAGUUUUCAUCCUUAGGUAAUUUUCAUUUAUUUGAAAUACCCACACUUUGGGCAUUGUGGUAAAUUCCAGAAGGGCACUUGUCUUGGUCUUUAAAUUUGGUUGAAUACAGUACUUGAGGUAUUGGUUGGAUUUUUGAAAGGUAGCCUCAUUUAUUGAAAGGCUGGCAACGAUAAAUAGGCUCACGAUUCAAAAUGGAGCGAUACAGACUUACAUUGCUUGUCCAUGGUUCUGUGAUGAUAAAUCUGUAUGUGGGACUAUGAAGCUAUUAGAAAUGUUCAGUUUAAGUGUUUGACAUAUUGAUAUGCUGACAGAAAAAACGGUAUGCCAAUUUUUAUGUAAUGAUCUAUGCUCUGUAGAGUGGAAUACAUAGAAAAGAUUUGUCAGAAGUAAGCCAAUAACCGUGAUCGCCUCUGGGUGGGUAAAUUACAGGUGUCCCCUCUCCAGGUACCCUCCCUUCCCCCCAUUCCUUACACUUCUUAGUCCUCACAUUAUCUUGAUAAGUUUGGGAAAAAAAUAGAUAAAACCCGUGAGGUUUUUAAGAAUCAGAAACAAUUUGAGCUCAAAUCAAUUAGUGGUCACCCCUGUAUACCUUUUAAAUAAACCCCUCUAAUAGUUGACAGUAGUGGCUUCUGGCUCACUGGGUAUCACAGAAAACUUUAGCUUAACUUAGUUUAAACAUUAGGAACACAAAAUUAGGUGACUAUGAGAAUUUUCCAGUUGACCAAAAUUUUUUCAACUGACUUGAAAAAUCCAGCCACCUGCUAAAGGUUGGAAAGACAUGACUGGAAUACUUAGCUGGACUCCUAACUCAGGUUGCAUACAGGAAAGCAGACUACAGUGGCCCAGGGAUGAGCAGCAAUUUUCUAGGACUAAGUAAUUUCUGGAGCUUGUACAUUUAGAACACAUUUACAACAAUUUGUCAUGGGACUCAAUCUAAAGGGGCUAAAUUGCUACUUUUAUUUAUCCUCUGGGAGGGAAUGUGAGAAAUAAUGGAUCAAGUCACAUGAUACCAAUUCAACAGAUAUGCCAAAUCCUUAAUGUUCUAGAAUGGGUUUCUGAAAUCCUAUGAUUUCAUUGGUUUUAGAAAGCUUUGAUUCGAAGAAUCUUUUGGUGUACAAGUUAAUUCAGCUGUAAGUUAGUUUUGAACAUGUAAAUUUCUUCCAACAUAAUAUAUUGUUUGCUUAGUGGGCAAUUCAUUCUGCAAGAAAAUGAACGCAGAAAACUGCACCUCUUGAACCAAGCUGCAGGGAAACACAUAAAGCACAUACACACACCUCCAAUAGAUACCAGCUAACUUCUUUCAGUGACAUUGAACUACACCCAUCCAUACUCCCUUUCCCUCUGAUUCUAGAUAGCCCACCUUCCAGAUAACCCACCUUCUUUUCCCUCUAUUCCAGAUAGCCCUUCAUUUCACAGGAAGUCAAAUCACAAACCACAACCCUUCUGAGGCCCAUUUCAAGUCGUCUUCAAGGUAAAGUGCCAUAUUUGUUUGUAGUGCUUAUAUAUUUCUUAAAUGUUUAACAUGUGUAAACCCACUGUUUUUAAAUGUGUCACUGGUGAAGUUUUAAAGUGCUAUGCCCUAAUACCAUUUUUCAUAUAAGCCCUGUGGUUUGUAUUUGUGGGACUUUUCAUAGUGUAGUGAUUUUUAGAAACUAAAAUGGAAUUCAGUUUCCUAAAAGGUUGUAUAGGCUGGCCUUUUUCCUUUCUGUAUGAAAUGUUUGCUUA